rnacentral:lncRNA from 12 species
CCUUCCUGGAGCCCAUCUCCUCACAAAAGGAACACUGCAGCUUUGUUUCCUAAGGAAUGGAAGUUCAACUUCAGCUCUUUCCAUAACAAGUGCAUCAUCAGAAAGGAAAAAAUAAAUCCUGCUAAUCACAGCCCUUCCCUGGAGCAGGGCAGUGGAGUUCUGUGGGCACGUUAAAUCAAAAUUUCCCAAGGAUGGGGCUGAGACCCAGCUGGGUUCAUGACGUGGAAGUGCAGGAGGAAAAUGGGCACAGGAGGCUGGAGCAGGAAUCACAGCCUGAGAGCUUGGGAAGAGCUGGUUUGGAUAAAACCCACAGGGGUGACAGUCACUCUGUGCCCAGGUGUGCAAAUCCACAGCAGUGACAGUGACAGCCACACUCUGUGCCCAGGUGUACAAACCCACAGGCCCCCCCCCCCCCCCCCCCCCCCCCCCCCCCCCCCCCCCCCCCCCCCCCCCCCCCCCCCCCCCCCCCCCCCCCCCCCCCCCCCCCCCCCCCCC